rnacentral:rRNA from 1 species
GAUGAACGCUGACAGAAUGCUUAACACAUGCAAGUCAACUUGAACUUCGGUUUGGGUGGCGGACGGGUGAGUAACGCGUAAAGAACUUGCCUCACAGAUAGGGACAACAUUUGGAAACGAAUGCUAAUACCUGAUAUUAUGAUUUUAGGGCAUCCUAGGAUUAUGAAAGCUAUAUGCACUGUGAGAGAGCUUUGCGUCCCAUUAGCUAGUUGGAGAGGUAACGGCUCACCAGGGCGAUGAUGGGUAGCCGGCCUGAGAGGGUGAUCGGCCACAAGGGGACUGAGACACGGCCCUUACUCCUACGGGAGGCAGCAGUGGGGAAUAUUGGCCAAUGGACCAAGAGUCUGAUCCAGCAAUUCUGUGUGCACGAUGAAGUUUUUCGGAAUGUAAAGUGCUUUCAGUUGGGAAGAAAAAAAUGACGGUACCAACAGAAGAAGUGACGGCUAAAUACGUGCCAGCAGCCGCGGUAAUACGUAUGUCACAAGCGUUAUCCGGAUUUAUUGGGCGUAAAGCGCGUCUAGGUGGUUAUGUAAGUCUGAUGUGAAAAUGCAGGGCUCAACUCUGUAUUGCGUUGGAAACUGUGUAACUAGAGUACUGGAGAGGUAAGCGGAACUACAAGUGUAGAGGUGAAAUUCGUAGAUAUUUGUAGGAAUGCCAAUGGGGAAGCCAGCUUACUGGACAGAUACUGACGCUGAAGCGCGAAAGCGUGGGUAGCAAACAGG